UCAGAACGAACGCUGGUGGCGUGUCUUAUACAUGCAAGUCGAGCGGUGCAGCAAUGCAUAGCGGCGAACGGGUGAGUAACGCGUAAGCAAUCUGCCCCACACUCGGGAAUAGCCGUGCCAACGCGCGGGUAAUACCGGAUAUCGUGGCCUGGGACAUCCCGGGUUGACGAAAGAUUUAUCGGUGUGGGAUGAGCUUGCGUCCGAUUAGCUAGUAGGCGGGGCAACGGCCCACCUAGGCGACGAUCGGUAGCCGGCCUGAGGGGGUGAUCGGCCACAUUGGGACUGAGAUACGGCCCAGACUCCUACGGGAGGCAGCAGUAGGGAAUAUUGCACAAUGGGGGGAACCCUGAUGCAGCAACGCCCACGUGUGGGAAGAAGCAUUUCGGUGUGUAAACCACUGUCGUGAGGGAAUAAGGCAUUUUUUCGGAGAUGUUGAAUGUACCUCGAAAGGAAGCACCGGCAAACUUCGUGCCAGCCGCCGC
rnacentral:rRNA from 1 species